GAUACGUAGCCGACCUGAGAGGGUGAUCGGCCACACUGGAACUGAGACACGGUCCAGACUCCUACGGGAGGCAGCAGUAGGGAAUCUUCCGCAAUGGGCGAAAGCCUGACGGAGCAACGCCGCGUGAGUGAUGAAGGUCUUCGGAUCGUAAAACUCUGUUAUUAGGGAAGAACAAGGAUGUAAGUAACUAUGCAUCCCUUGACGGUACCUAAUCAGAAAGCCACGGCUAACUACGUGCCAGCAGCCGCGGUAAUACGUAGGUGGCAAGCGUUAUCCGGAAUUAUUGGGCGUAAAGCGCGCGUAGGCGGUUUUUUAAGUCUGAUGUGAAAGCCCACGGCUCAACCGUGGAGGGUCAUUGGAAACUGGAAAACUUGAGUGCAGAAGAGGAAAGUGGAAUUCCAUGUGUAGCGGUGAAAUGCGCAGAGAUAUGGAGGAACACCAGUGGCGAAGGCGACUUUCUGGUCUGCAACUGACGCUGAUGUGCGAAAGC
rnacentral:rRNA from 1 species